rnacentral:rRNA from 1 species
GACGAACGCUGGCGGCGUGCCUAACACGUGCAAGUUGAGCGACGAACCAGGGCUUGCCCUGGGGCAAAGCAGCGAACGGGUGAGUAACACGUGGGUAACCUACCCCGAUAACCGGGACAACCCGAGGAAACUCGGGCUAAUACCGGAUGUGCUCACUGGACUUCGGUUCAGUGCGUAAAGGAAGCUUCGGCCUCCGUAUCGGGAGGGGCCCGCGGCCCAUUAGUUUGUUGGUGAGGUAACGGCUCACCAAGACCGCGAUGGGUAGCUGGUCUGAGAGGACGAUCAGCCACACUGGGACUGAGACACGGCCCAGACUCCUACGGGAGGCAGCAGUGGGAAAUCUUGCGCAAUGCGCGAAAGCGUGACGCAGCAACGCCGCGUGGGGGAAGAAGGCCUUCGGGUUGUAAACCCCUUUCAGGAGGGACGAAGGUUCGGCGGUGAAUAGCCGUCCGGACUGACGGUACCUCCACAAGAAGCCCCGGCUAACUACGUG